GAUGAAGAACGUAGCGAAAUGCGAUAAGUAAUGUGAAUUGCAGAAUUCAGUGAAUCAUCGAAUCUUUGAACGCACCUUGCACCCUUUGGCAUUCUGAAGGGUAUGCUCGUUUGAGUGUCAUUGUACUCUCACACUCCCGAUCUUUGCAUUGGGAGCAGUGGACUUGGGUUUGCUGCUUCACCGUCGCUUACCUCAAAUAGGUUAGUGCAACUCUUGGUUGGACAUAGUACGGCGUGAUAAGUGUUCUUCGCCGGUGCCUCGCAAAGAGGGUGGCCGAUCGGGUUGUUGUGCUCCAAACCGUCUUCGGACAAUCUCUGACGACUUGACCUCAAAUCGAGUAAGACUACCCGCUGAACUUAAGCAUAUCAAUAAGCGGAGGA
rnacentral:misc_RNA from 1 species